rnacentral:rRNA from 1 species
UACGUAGGUUGCGAGCGUUGUCCGGAUUUACUGGGCGUAAAGCGCGCGCAGGCGGCUUCGAAAGUCCACGGUGAAAGCUCCCGGCUCAACUGGGAGAGGCCCGCGGAAACUCCGGAGCUUGAAGGCAGGAGAGGCAGAUGGAAUUUCCGGUGUAGCGGUAAAAUGCGUAGAUACCGGAAGGAACACCAGUGGCGAAGGCGAUCUGCUGGCCUGUUCUUGACGCUCAGGCGCGAAAGCUAGGGGAGCGACCGGG